rnacentral:tRNA from 1 species
UCCCGUGUGGCGCAAUUGGCUAGCGCGUCAGACUGUUAUGAUUCUCGAAUCUUGCGAUCUGGAGGCUGAAAGUUCGAGCCUUUCCAUGGGAG